GACGAACGCUGGCGGCGUGCUUAACACAUGCAAGUCGAACGGAAAGGCCCUGCUUUUGUGGGGUGCUCGAGUGGCGAACGGGUGAGUAACACGUGAGUAACCUGCCCUUGACUUUGGGAUAACUUCAGGAAACUGGGGCUAAUACCGGAUAGGAGCUCCUGCUGCAUGGUGGGGGUUGGAAAGUUUCGGCGGUUGGGGAUGGACUCGCGGCUUAUCAGCUUGUUGGUGGGGUAGUGGCUUACCAAGGCUUUGACGGGUAGCCGGCCUGAGAGGGUGACCGGCCACAUUGGGACUGAGAUACGGCCCAGACUCCUCCGGGAGGCAGCAGUGGGGAAUAUUGCACCAUGGGCGGAAGCCUGAUGCAGCAACGCCGCGUGCGGGAUGACGGCCUUCGGGUUGUAAACCGCUUUCGCCUGUGACGAAGCGUGAGUGACGGUAAUGGGUAAAGAAGCACCGGCUAACUACGUG
rnacentral:rRNA from 1 species